GUCGAGCGGCAGCGACAACAUUGAACCUUCGGGGGAUUUGUUGGGCGGCGAGCGGCGGACGGGUGAGUAAUGCCUAGGAAAUUGCCCUGAUGUGGGGGAUAACCAUUGGAAACGAUGGCUAAUACCGCAUGAUGCCUACGGGCCAAAGAGGGGGACCUUCGGGCCUCUCGCGUCAGGAUAUGCCUAGGUGGGAUUAGCUAGUUGGUGAGGUAAGGGCUCACCAAGGCGACGAUCCCUAGCUGGUCUGAGAGGAUGAUCAGCCACACUGGAACUGAGACACGGUCCAGACUCCUACGGGAGGCAGCAGUGGGGAAUAUUGCACAAUGGGCGCAAGCCUGAUGCAGCCAUGCCGCGUGUAUGAAGAAGGCCUUCGGGUUGUAAAGUACUUUCAGUAGGGAGGAAGGUUCAUGCGUUAAUAGCGUAUGGAUUUGACGUUACCUACAGAAGAAGCACCGGCUAACUCCGUGCCAGCAGCCGCGGUAAUACGGAGGGUGCGAGCGUUAAUCGGAAUUACUGGGCGUAAAGCGCAUGCAGGUGGUUAGUUAAGUCAGAUGUGAAAGCCCGGGGCUCAACCUCGGAAUUGCAUUUGAAACUGGCUGACUAGAGUACUGUAGAGGGGGGUAGAAUUUCAGGUGUAGCGGUGAAAUGCGUAGAGAUCUGAAGGAAUACCGGUGGCGAAGGCGGCCCCCUGGACAGAUACUGACACUCAGAUGCGAAAGCGUGGGGAGCAAACAGGAUUAGAUACCCUGGUAGUCCACGCCGUAAACGAUGUCUACUUGGAGGUUGUGGCCUUGAGCCGUGGCUUUCGGAGCUAACGCGUUAAGUAGACCGCCUGGGGAGUACGGUCGCAAGAUUAAAACUCAAAUGAAUUGACGGGGGCCCGCACAAGCGGUGGAGCAUGUGGUUUAAUUCGAUGCAACGCGAAGAACCUUACCUACUCUUGACAUCCAUAGAACUUAGCAGAGAUGCUUUGGUGCCUUCGGGAACUAUGAGACAGGUGCUGCAUGGCUGUCGUCAGCUCGUGUUGUGAAAUGUUGGGUUAAGUCCCGCAACGAGCGCAACCCUUAUCCUUGUUUGCCAGCGAGUAAUGUCGGGAACUCCAGGGAGACUGCCGGUGAUAAACCGGAAGAAGGUGGGGACGACUUCAAGUCAUCAUGGCCCUUA
rnacentral:rRNA from 1 species